UAGGGAAUCUUCGGCAAUGGACGAAAGUCUGACCGAGCAACGCCGCGUGAGUGAAGAAGGUUUUCGGAUCGUAAAACUCUGUUGUUAGAGAAGAACAAGGACGUUAGUAACUGAACGUCCCCUGACGGUAUCUAACCAGAAAGCCACGGCUAACUACGUGCCAGCAGCCGCGGUAAUACGUAGGUGGCAAGCGUUGUCCGGAUUUAUUGGGCGUAAAGCGAGCGCAGGCGUUUUCUUAAGUCUGAUGUGAAAGCCCCCGGCUCAACCGGGGAGGGUCAUUGGAAACUGGGAGACUUGAGUUCAGAAGAGGAGAGUGGAAUUCCAUGUGUAGCGGUGAAAUGCGUAGAUAUAUGGAGGAACACCAGUGGCGAGGGCGGCUCUCUGGUCUGUAACUGACGCUGAGGCUCGAAAGCGUGGGGAGCAAACAGG
rnacentral:rRNA from 1 species